UUGAAAGUAAAAAAUCGUAACAAGGUCUCCGUUGGUGAACCAGCGGAGGGAUCAUUACCGAGUUUACAACUCCCAAACCCAAUGUGAACGUUACCAAACUGUUGCCUCGGCGGGAUCUCUGCCCCGGGUGCGUCGCAGCCCCGGACCAAGGCGCCCGCCGGAGGACCAACCAAAACUCUUUUUGUAUACCCCCUCGCGGGUUUUUUAUAAUCUGAGCCUUCUCGGCGCCUCUCGUAGGCGUUUCGAAAAUGAAUCAAAACUUUCAACAACGGAUCUCUUGGUUCUGGCAUCGAUGAAGAACGCAGCGAAAUGCGAUAAGUAAUGUGAAUUGCAGAAUUCAGUGAAUCAUCGAAUCUUUGAACGCACAUUGCGCCCGCCAGUAUUCUGGCGGGCAUGCCUGUCCGAGCGUCAUUUCAACCCUCGAACCCCUCCGGGGGGUCGGCGUUGGGGAUCGGCCCUGCCUCUUGGCGGUGGCCGUCUCCGAAAUACAGUGGCGGUCUCGCCGCAGCCUCUCCUGCGCAGUAGUUUGCACACUCGCAUCGGGAGCGCGGCGCGUCCACAGCCGUUAAACACCCAACUUCUGAAAUGUGACCUCGGAUCAGGUGGGAAGUAACCACCCCAC
rnacentral:rRNA from 1 species